rnacentral:rRNA from 1 species
GUCCUUUUGUUUUUAUUUAAGGUCUGACCUGCCCAAUGAGGAAUUCAAUGGCCGCAGUAUUUUAACUGUGCUAAGGUAGCAUAAUCAUUUGUCUUUUAAUUGAGGGCUGGAAUGAAAGGUUGGACGAGGUAUUAGCUUUCUUUAAUUUAGUUUUAUGAAUUUAAUUUUUGAGUUAAAAAGCUUAAAUUUAUUUGUUGGACGAGAAGACCCUAUAGAUCUUUAUAAUUUUAUAUUCUAAUAAUUUAGGGAUUAUCUUAUUUAGAGUAAAAGAAUUAUUUUGUUGGGGUGACUGUAGAAUUUUUUAAACUUCUAUUUAUUGUUAUCAUUUAUUUAUGUUUAUUUGAUCCAUAAUUUAUGAUUAGAAGAUUAAGUUACCUUAGGGAUAACAGCGUAAUUUCUUCGGAGAGUUCAUAUUGAUGAAGAAGUUUGCGACCUCGAUGUUGGAUUAAAAUGAGUAGUGGAUGCAGGAGUUUACUUACUAGGUCUGUUCGACCUUUAAAUUUUC